rnacentral:rRNA from 1 species
UACGGGGGGGGCAAGCGUUGUUCGGAAUUACUGGGCGUAAAGCGUGCGUAGGUGGUUUGUUAAGUCUGCUGUGAAAGCCCUGGGCUCAACCUGGGAAUGGCGGUGGAUACUGACAAGCUAGAGUGCGGUAGAGGAGGGUGGAAUUCCCGGUGUAGCGGUGAAAUGCGUAGAGAUCGGGAGGAACAUCAGUGGCGAAGGCGGCCCUCUGGACCAGCACUGACGCUGAGGCACGAAAGCGUGGGGAGCAAACAGG